GACUAAUUGGCUUAAUACGUUUUCCAGAGAUGCUGUUAACAGGUUGUGUUGCUGUUUCAGGCAUCUUUGAGCAUGCAAGGGGGCUCUUAACUGCACUUGGUGUGGAUGGAGACAUCAGAGGUGACUAGAAGCAUAUCAAACGGCAUUUAAAACGGUGAGACUCUGUUUACGUGGCUUCUAUGCAGAUGUUAAUCGGCAUGCUCUUGUUUUGUUGGUGACAGCGCCAUGGUUCUCAAGAUCAAAAUGGAGAAGUGGCUGAGGGUACUGAUACUGAUGAGGAGGAUGACUUUGAUUGGGCGGCGGGAGAAUCGUCACGGAGCGACUGGGGAGAGAAGUACCCAACAUCGGUUGGGCUGUAUCAUGUAGAGCCUUCCGAGCAUGACAUUUCAAAAUUCUAUGUAGGCAUGGUAGGCUGUGGCGAGUGGCGACAAUGUUCUAGAGAAGAAGUGGUUCAAGCACUAUCAUCCGAGACUAGCUGUGGCGUCUGGCCAGGACCUGAAGGACGAGCUAACUCCUUGUGGCGAGCUGACACUGAAUCUGUGGACAUGCAUACAAAGGAUGCUAAGCAAGAAGGAUAAGAUCAUGUACAAGGGGUGGCUAGACAGAUUCAGAGGCUUCUUUGAUCCCCGUUUUGUGGGACGAUGAAGACAAGGACUGGGAGUACAUCUACAUGAUGAUGGACUGCGAAAAAAUGGGCUAUAGAAUCGACUGGCUUAAAAAGUUGAUGUUCCUGGUGAAUUUCAUGGAUUGCUGGUCGGUGUAUAUCCUGGAAAAGGAUAGGAAGAUUGUAAUGGUGCUUGAUCCAACUGAGAGUCCGAGACAUAUCCAGAAGAUGAGAUGAAGAUCAAGCACGAGCCGCUGGCAAAGAAGUUUCAGAAAAGGUUCUGCAACCUGUUCAAUGACAUGUAUGGUGCUGGAUUGGUAGAGAUGACUUGGUGAUCUUUUGUGUAUCCUUUGGAGGCGCAGCACGAGCCAUGCAGUAGGUCAUUGCACCUUCAUCAUUGCCUUAGCGGCAGCUCGGUCUGGGUGAUCAAAAACUGUGCCCUUUAAACUCAUACGGUGUGCCUCUGUUGUGGUUUGCAUGGAAGACAAGGGUGUCUAUGUUGUGCGCUACGUCCUGAACUUUACUGGUCUAUACCUACGAUCAACUUUGAGCGAGGGCCAGAUUCAGCAGCUACGGAAGAAGAUUGCAUAUGAGGUGGCGAUCACGAGGGGUAACAAAAGAGAGCUUCUGGAUUUCAUGUGCGAGGAGAUAGCUGACUGAAGAUGGAGUGGUCGUACUUGCAGUCUGCGUACGUACAGCCCGGCAAGAUCUUUUGGUUGUGCGUCAAGUAUGUCGUUAGGCACUGGGGUUUAAGUUCUGGAGUCAUUUUGCGAUGCGAGCGAAAGAACUACUGCAGAUUAUUAGUUUGGACACCUAUGGUAAUGUGUUGUGUUUCAGGCAAUGGGCCUGCGUGAAUGUAGGAUUAAGUACGGAGAUGUGAUGACUUGUCUGUUUGUUUGCAAAUUGCUAUGUCAGAUGAAAUGAACUAAGUAUGGUCAUGUUGGACAGUA